rnacentral:rRNA from 1 species
AUUGAACGCUGGCGGCAUGCUUUACACAUGCAAGUCGAACGGCAGCGCGGGCUUCGGCCUGGCGGCGAGUGGCGAACGGGUGAGUAAUACAUCGGAACGUGCCCAGUAGUGGGGGAUAGCUCGGCGAAAGCCGGAUUAAUACCGCAUACGACCUGAGGGUGAAAGCGGGGGAUCUUCGGACCUCGCGCUAUUGGAGCGGCCGAUGGCAGAUUAGCUAGUUGGUGGGGUAAAGGCCUACCAAGGCGACGAUCUGUAGCUGGUCUGAGAGGACGACCAGCCACACUGGGACUGAGACACGGCCCAGACUCCUACGGGAGGCAGCAGUGGGGAAUUUUGGACAAUGGGCGAAAGCCUGAUCCAGCAAUGCCGCGUGUGUGAUGAAGGCCUUCGGGUUGUAAAGCACUUUUGGCGGGAACGAAAAGGACUGAGCCAAUACCACGGUUCGAUGACGGUACCCGCAGAAUAAGCACCGGCUAACUACGUG